AGAAACAUGGCUGACCUAAAAGUGUAAGAGUAUGAAUAAUGCCAAUUGCUGUGGAUUGAAAUAGUAGAAUUGCUCUGUAAACACAACCAGAGUAUCGGUUGUGGUGCUCCAUAAAUACAGCCACUAAUUUAGUUAAGAAUAACACUGUGUAACACGAUCUUUGUCUUUGGGAAGCAACUGUGAUUUCCUAUUUGCUUACCCCUAGAACCUAUGAAAAUUGGAUAAUAUUUCCUUCAAAUAUUGCUUUUGUUACAUUUAUUCAAACCCCAAAGAAUCCCUCUCAAUACAUGGCUGUGAUGUUCCCCCGCUACUUUUGCUCAUGGUCAGAGAUGUAUAUAUUGUCAGCCACUAAAGGACAUGCUCAAGUGGAUAAGGUCAAACAAAUGACAAGCAAAUCUGUGGUAUUCAGCAGAAUAUUUGUUAUAAUGAUGUUCCUGUUUCCACAACUCAGCACUGAAUUUGUCUGAAAUGUAAUAGAAAAUAGAUUGGUUUCAAAAGAUUGAUGUCCAGAUCACAAAAGCAAAGUUUGAAGGGAGUAGUAGUUAUUUCCUUUGAUUUCUAGAUAGAAACAAAUAGGAAACAACACUGACCAAAGAAGCAAAAAUU